AUCCAGCUAAUGAGUCCCAAAUGGGACGAAACACUCAUCCUGGAU
rnacentral:hammerhead_ribozyme from 1 species